rnacentral:lncRNA from 1 species
AGAGCGCGUGUGGCCGCCGAGCACAUGGACCCACUGGUCAAGCGGGCUCGGCAAGGCCAGGAUGAAGAGAAGCUACGAACUUAGCAUUCCCAGAGCCCCCCGAGUGGAUAUCCGCGUGGAAAGGAUGUUGGCAGCCCCGGUGACCUCGGAGUCACGGCUGGAUCCACCCUCUUGACACUUGUGCACAGCCAGCCUGCCAUACCGGGUUGGCAGAUGGCCUGAUGAAGAGAGGGCUCUUGGGCUUUGCCAUCCGUACUGCCCCCGAAGCUAUUAUGAGAAUGGAUCGCUGUGAAGAGCAGUAGAGCCGAGUUCUGUCACCACAGACAUUGGCAGUGGCACUUGCAUGCCCCUGGCAAGCAGUCUAUCCUGAGGUGGAGGAAGUUGCCCUUGAGUUCUGGCUGGUAACCAGCACAGGGGCUGGGACACUGCCUGAUUGAGGUGGCCAUUGAGAAUUCAAGUGUACCUCUUGGUCCCUGAUGCAGAAAUGAAGUCCCCAGCAUGCUCAAGAAGAGCUUCCUUGGAGGAUGAGAGGCAUGGGAAUCUAAGUAUACCCUUUAAGCGUUCCAGAAGGAUUUUGAGAUCCUUUCCUAAAUCAAAGGUGGAAUAUUUGGGGAUUUGGAAAAUUGAGAUGUGAAGCGUUGACUUAAGAGAUGCCAAGUAACUCAGCAGAUGUCACACAGACGAUAAAUAGCAAAGAUGGAAGUCUUCAUGCCGGAGGCAAUCCUAUAAGACAGCUGAGUUCUGCAGAGCUGGUAGGAGACAGACUUGCUCAGGUGAUAGAUCCAGCCAUGAUACUGACCCUAAGAGAAUGAGACGCUCUGCAGAAGACAGAAGAUUCCUGAAACUGGGAAAGGUGCCUAGAAAUCCUGAUAAGAGUGAAGAAGGAGCUGGCAGAGCAGCCUUCCUCCGCACUAUGAAAGACAUCCAACAGAGAGCAAGUUCCCACCUCACUUCCAGCUUGACUCCUUUUUAUCUCCUAACUGUGGUCUGUGAUGUCUUCAGCAAUGGGUACCUGGAGGCACAGCAGCCAUGUUGAACCUAUGAGGUGAUGAAAAACCAUGCAACUAGAAACCAGAAUGGAAGAAAAGAAGAAGCUGGAUCCUUGACUGAAUUGUCGAUGGGGGAUAGUCCAUCAUCCCAGGGCUAAGACCACCUCCAGAUUUCUUGUUUGGUGAAACAAGUCCUGAUUGUUUACAUUCCCUCGUGUUGAGCUGUCUCUUGCUUGUAGCUGAAAGCAUUUCUAAUAGAUAUUCAGAUUAUCAGCCUUAGCUCCAAGCUAGAAUACUCUAUGGGACCUUAGCUUCUCCAUGAAUUCCUUUGCUCAUCUGUGUAAUGCUCAAUAAAUGUAAAUUGAACCCU